GCGUGAUUGGUUUAGUGGUAAAAUUCUCCGUUGCCAUCAGGGAGCCCUGGGUUUCGAUUCCCAGAUCACGUA
rnacentral:tRNA from 1 species